rnacentral:tRNA from 1 species
GCGGUUGUGGUGGAAUUGGUAGACACGCUAUCUUGAGGGGGUAGUGCAUCUUCAUGCGUGCGAGUUCAAGUCUCGCCAACCGCA